GAUUAACGCUGGCGGCAUGCCUAACACAUGCAAGUCGAGCGAAGCCAGCAAUGGCUUAGCGGCGAACGGGUGAGUAAUACAUAUUUAACGUACCCGGAAGAGUGGAAUAACCUUUGGAAACGAGGGCUAAUACCACAUAGUAUUUAGAGUGGCAUCACUUUAAGUUUAAAGGCGGGUUAAACCGUCACUUCCGAAUCGGGAUAUGCCAUAUUAGAUAGUUGGUGAGGUAAAGGCUCACCAAGUCGAUGAUAUGUAGCCGUACUGAGAGGUAGAACGGCCACAAUGGGACUGAGACACGGCCCAUACUCCUACGGGAGGCAGCAGUGGGGAAUUUUCCACAAUGGACGAAAGUCUGAUGGAGCAAUGCCGCGUGAAGGAUGAAUGUUUUCGGAUUGUAAACUUCUGUGAUAUGGAAAGAAAAAACGAUAUAGUAAAUGAUAUCGUCUUGACGUUACCAUAUUAGAAAGUCACGGCAAACUAUGUGCCAGCAGCCGCGGUAAUACAUAGGUGGCAAGCGUUAUCCGGAUUUAUUGGGCGUAAAGAGUGCACAGGUUGUUAUAUAAGUUUAAUGUCUAAUUCCACAGCUCAACUGUGGCCUGCAUUAAAAACUGUAUGACUAGGAUAUCGGUGGGGUAAGUAGAAUUUCAUGUGUAGCGGUGGAAUGCGUAAAUAUAUGAAGGAAUACCAAUAGCGAAGGCAGCUUACUGAACGAUUAUCGACGCUUAAGCACGAAAGCAUGGGGAGCAAAUAGGAUUAGAUACCCUAGUAGUCCAUGCCGUAAACGAUCCACAUUAGUUGUUGCAUAAGCAGCGACGCAGCUAACGCAUUAAAUGUGGCGCCUGGGUAGUACGCACGCAAGUGUAAAACUCAAAGGAAUUGACGGGGACCCGCACAAGUGGUGGAGCAUGUGGUUUAAUUCGAUGAUACGCGAAAAACCUUACCUACGUUUGACAUACUUGGCGAACCUGCAGAGAUGCAGGGGAGGAUAACCUUUGUACAGGUGGUGCAUGGUUGUCGUCAGCUCGUGUCGUGAGAUGUUCGGUUAAGUCCGGCAACGAGCGCAACCCUUAUCCUAUGUUACCAGCAUUCAGUUGGGGACUCAUGGGAGACUGCUAUCGCAAGAUAGAGGAAGGUGGGGAUGACGUCAAAUCAUCAUGCCCCUUAUACGUAGGGCUACACACGUGCUACAAUGGCGUUUACAAAGCGUUGCAAACCCGCGAGGGCAAGCUAAUCGCAAAAAGAACGUCUCAGUUCGGAUUGAAGUCUGCAACUCGACUUCAUGAAGUUGGAAUCACUAGUAAUCUCAGAUCAGCAAUGCUGAGGUGAAUGCGUUCUCGGGUCUUGUACACACCGCCCGUCAAACCAUGGGAGCCGGCAACACCUAAUACCAGUGUUCUAACCGUAAGGGGGAAGCUGUUUAGGGUGGGGUUGGUGACUGGGGUU
rnacentral:rRNA from 1 species